rnacentral:rRNA from 1 species
AACGGCCAUACCAUGCUGAAUAUACCGGUUCUCGUUAGAUCACCGAAGUCAAGCAUCAUUGGGCGCGGUCUGUACUUGGGUGGGUGACCACCUGGGAACACCGCGUGCCGUU